rnacentral:rRNA from 1 species
AAUCAACGCUGGCGGCGUGCCUCAGACAUGCAAGUCGAACGAUUAAACUCUCCUUCGGGAGAGAUAUAAAGUGGCGCACGGGUGAGUAACACGUAGGUAAUCUACCUUUGAGUGGGGAAUAACAAUCGGAAACGAUUGCUAAUACCGCAUAAUGCAGCGGCAUCAUAAGAUGACAGUUGUUAAAGCGAGCAAUCGCGCUUAAAGAGGAGCCUGCGGCAGAUUAGCUAGUUGGUAAGGUAAUGGCUUACCAAGGCUACGAUCUGUAACCGACCUGAGAGGGUGGUCGGUCACACUGACACUGAAUAACGGGUCAGACUCCUACGGGAGGCAGCAGUCGGGAAUUUUGGGCAAUGGGCGAAA